AACACCAGGAUGGGGGCAGCUGUGGCCUUCAGUCAGCUAACCUUGGUCAGUUAAUCCUACAUACCAAGCUUGUCGUGCAGAACCUCCCUAACAAUUGAGGAGUGGUCUUAUCUUGCUCUCGCUUAACCCCAGGAUGUAUGUCUUGCAAAGAUAAUGUGCAGCUGUGGAAAAUUACUAAGAGUUAAGUGUUUUGAAAAUGCUAUAUAAACCCUUGGUUUUGAGUGCUCGAGGUCCUUGUUGAGACCCGCUGCGUCGGGCUGACACUUGGACCCCAGCUAGCUGGUUCCUGAAUAAAUUCCUCUUGCUUAUUGCAUCAAGAGACGCCUUCUGUGAGUGAUUUAGGGUGGCGCUCUCCUCUGGGAAAAAUCCAACAUUUGGGGGCUCGUCCGGGAUCUGCGCUCACCCCGCUUCACUCCCGAAGUCGCUCUUGGAGGAAGAGAAGCCACAAAACUGCAAAUAGUAAUAGAAAUGAAAC